rnacentral:lncRNA from 1 species
UUUCAGUUUGCAACACAAUGCUAUUAGUCUCAAGGCUUUGGUAUUUGGCAGAACAACAUUGCAUAAUUCCACCAGCAUAGUCAUUGCUUUGAAUGGGUGGUACCUUUGGGACUCUUGUAAGGUGUUUAGACCUACCUUUAUCCUGUAUUCCUGUGGAAGAAAAAAUGGGAAUUGAAGUGAAAACUAGUGGAAAAACAUGACAUGCCUUCUAAGUACAGGUGGUGGCAGUACGGUCAGAAGGUGUGUGGGUUUUAUGGAGAAGCUUGUGUUUGCAAAAAGAGCACUGUGCUAAAAGUACUGUUGGAGCAAGAAUCUACUUCCAGUUAAACCAUUUCAGGUUAUUCAGAAAAUGUACCUGUAGUAAUUAAGAUCUAAAAUUCCUGGAAGAAGAGCUCAAAUGGGUACAUCCGCUAAGUAUAGACUGUAUAUAUCCUUUUUGAUAAAAGUGCAGUAGCAAAGGAGUAAUGGAAAUAGAAUCGAGUUCAUAAGAAUGGGUGGCAUUAAAGGUUGCUAAUGCCAUGUGAUCCUGAAACCCAGAGCUCAGAACUAACUGUAAGAUGAUAUUCUGUGAGCUAACAAUUCUUUGACAUAAACUUGAAACCUUUUUUGAUAGCUCCUCAUUCUGUGUAAGCAAAAUGGGGGGAAAAUUUUUUUUUCUUUUGUACCACACUUAGUGGCCUUGUAUGUCAGCAAGUAGUGCUGUAUUCUUUAUGAAUCUGAACCAUUUCUGAGGGGGGACAAUGUGUGUGGCUCUUACAUUUUGGGAAAUUUUCUAAAAGAAUUCAGUUACAUGCUCAAGUGUUAGAAACUUUUAGC